rnacentral:lncRNA from 1 species
AAAAGUUAGCCUCUCAUCCUCUGGGAAAACAUCCUCAGAGGUUGUUUGGCUUCCAAGAAAAUAGUAGAGAGAAAGUAAAGCAAAAGAGAUCUCUGUAUUUCCUUAAGUGUAAAAUAUACAUAAGUUGGUCUCCUGGAAAAAGCUCCCCGAGAUUGUCACUUUUUAGUGUUUACAAGAGAGUUUAUAUAGGAAGGUAAUUUACCCUUCCAUGGAUACUUCCUAGCUAAGGAAUUACAUGAGUGGAUGAAUACAAGGAGAAAAUGGAAAUUUAGC